rnacentral:rRNA from 1 species
CCUANGGGUGGCAGCAGUCGGGAAUUUUGCUCAAUGGGGGAAACCCUGAAGCAGCAACGCCGCGUGAGGGAUGACGGCCUUCGGGUUGUAAACCUCUUUUGUCAGGGACGAUGAUGACGGUACCUGGCGAAUAAGCCACGGCUAACUACGUGCCAGCAGCCGCGGUAAUACGUAGGUGGCAAGCGUUGUCCGGAUUUACUGGGCGUAAAGAGCGCGCAGGCGGUCUAGUAAGUCGAAUGUGAAAGCCCCUGGCUCAACCAGGGAGGGUCAUUCGAUACUGCUGGACUCGAAGGCAGGAGAGGGAAGCGGAAUUCCCGGUGUAGUGGUGAAAUGCGUAGAUAUCGGGAGGAACACCAGUGGCGAAGGCGGCUUUCUGGCCUGUUCUUGACGCUGAGGCGCGAAAGCUAGGGGAGCAAACGGGAUUAGAUACCCCUNUANUC